rnacentral:rRNA from 1 species
AACGAACGCUGGCGGCAUGCCUAACACAUGCAAGUCGAACGAUUGCCUUCGGGUGAUAGUGGCGCACGGGUGCGUAACGCGUGGGAAUCUGCCCUUAGGUUCGGAAUAACAGCUGGAAACGGCUGCUAAUACCGGAUGAUAUCGCGAGAUCAAAGAUUUAUCGCCUGAGGAUGAGCCCGCGUUGGAUUAGGUAGUUGGUGGGGUAAAGGCCUACCAAGCCGACGAUCCAUAGCUGGUCUGAGAGGAUGAUCAGCCACACUGGGACUGAGACACGGCCCAGACUCCUACGGGAGGCAGCAGUGGGGAAUAUUGGACAAGGGGCGCAAGCCUGAUCCAGCAAUGCCGCGUGAGUGAUGAAGGCCCUAGGGUUGUAAAGCUCUUUUACCCGGGAAGAUAAUGACUGUACCGGGAGAAUAAGCCCCGGCUAACUACGUG